UCUUGGUCAUUUAGAGGAAGUAAAAGUCGUAACAAGGUUUCCGUAGGUGAACCUGCGGAAGGAUCAUUACAGAGUUCAUGCCCCCACGGGUAGAUCUCCCACCCAUGAAUAACAUACCUUUGUUGCUUUGGCAGGCCGCACUCGUGCCAGAGGCUUCGGCUUCCGAGUGCCUGCCAGAGGACCACAACUCUUGUUUUUUAGUGAUGUCUGAGUACUAUAUAAUAGUUAAAACUUUCAACAACGGAUCUCUUGGUUCUGGCAUCGAUGAAGAACGCAGCGAAAUGCGAUAAGUAAUGCGAAUUGCAGAAUUCAGUGAGUCAUCGAAUCUUUGAACGCACAUUGCGCCCUGUGGUAUUCCGCAGGGCAUGCCUGUUCGAGCGUCAUUAUCAACCAUCAAGCCUGGCUUGUCGUUGGAUCUCUUUGCUACUGAAAUAUGUGGCAGGUCCGAAAGAUAAUGACGGCGUCGUGUUUGACCCUAGAUGCAACGAGCUUUUUAUAGCACGCAUUGAUGUGGUCGGGCGACCCAGUCUUUAACCAUUAUUUUCUAAGGUUGACCUCGGAUCAGGUAGGAAUACCCGCUGAACUUAAGCAUAUCAAUAAGCGGAGG
rnacentral:rRNA from 1 species